UGGGGAAUUGUUCGCAAUGGGCGCAAGCCUGACGACGCAACGCCGCGUGGAGGAUGAAGGUCUUCGGAUUGUAAACUCCUGUUGCCCGGGACGAAUGACUCCGACCUAACACGUCGGAGUGUGACGGUACCGGGUGAGGAAGCCCCGGCUAACUCUGUGCCAGCAGCCGCGGUAAUACAGAGGGGGCAAGCGUUGUUCGGAAUUACUGGGCGUAAAGGGCGCGUAGGCGGCCUGCUAAGUCGAACGUGAAAUCCCCGGGCUCAACCCGGGAACUGCGUCCGAGACUGACAGGCUCGAAUCCGGGAGAGGGAUGUGGAAUUCCAGGUGUAGCGGUGAAAUGCGUAGAUAUCUGGAGGAACAUCGGUGGCGAAGGCGGCAUCCUGGACCGGUAUUGACGCUGAGGCGCGAAAGCCAGGGGAGCAAACGGGAUUAGAUACCCCGGUAGUCCUGGCCCUAAACGAUGAAUGCUUGGUGUGGUGGGUAUCGAUCCCCGCGUGCCGAAGCUAACGC
rnacentral:rRNA from 1 species